UAAAUUCAGAGGGAGUAGCUGAUAAUUCAUUCCCCAAAAUACAACCCCAAUAAGAUUAAUCAUCAAUUGUAAUUUUCAUCAUUAAAAUCCAUAAAAUUCCUCACUUUCGAACCACCACCACCACCACACAAAAACCCAACACCACCACCCCCUCUCUCGCCGUCCUUCUCCCCACACCCAACUCCCCUGCGUCCCUCUCCUCCAUGCAACCACCACCGUCGUUUUCUGCCGGCCGCCACCUUCGCCCCGAAAUCCGACCACCUCCUUUUACGGGUUCCGACCAGAAGUCCCACCCAGCAGUAGCCUGUUCUCCUUCUCUCUUUCUUUGCUUAUCGGCUUUGCAACAGUGCCGACCGGGGCGACAGAUGCGAAUAGUGGCAAGGAUUUCGUCUUAUUAGGGAUCGCCUAGUUUAAGCUUAAUUUGUACUAAGUUCAAGUAAGAAUUUUCUACUAAGUUAUGUAAGUCACUUUUGAAUAUUAAUAUAGAACAUAGUUAUAUUAGUUUUAUAAAA